UGUCCUAUGAUCAUUUUGGUCAAGGGGAUGAAUUAUAUGGAAACUAUAUCAGCAUGGAUUCUAAGGAUGUUGUUCUACACAUUCGAGCUAUCCGAUCAUCGAGUAUCAUUGCUAGAUGGUUACUUUGAUUGGUAUAAAAAUUUAUUUCUGUGCUACUGACUUAGGUUUGGACCUAUGAGAUUAUACAUAUUAGAGUUCAUGAUC
rnacentral:lncRNA from 1 species